rnacentral:rRNA from 1 species
GAUGAACGCUGGCGGCGGGCCUAAUACAUGCAAGUCGAGCGAAGCGGGGACGGGGGAGUAACAAGAGGAUAACACCAUAUAAGACUGGGAUAAAAUCGGGAAACCGGAGCGAAACCGGAUACUGAGAGAUGGAACCGCGCUGCAUUAGCGAGUUGGUAAGGUAACGGCUUACCAAGGCAACGAUGCAUAGCCGGUCUGAGAGGGUGAUCGGCCACACUGGGACUGAGACACGGUCCAGACUCCUACGGGAGGCAGCAGUGGGGAAUCUUCCGCAAUGGGCGCAAGCCUGACGGAGCCAUGCCGCGUGUGUGAUGAAGGUCUUCGGAUCGUAAAGCUCUGUUAUUAGGGAAGCGGUACCUACUCAGAAAGCCACGGCUAACUCCGUGCCAGCCGCCGCGGUAAUUC